CCCUUAGAUGUUCGGGGCCGCACGCGCGCUACGCUGAUGGGGACAGCGUGUUUGCCAUUCCUGGUCCGGCAGGAUUGGGCAAUCCGUUGAACCCCCGUCGUGAUUGGGAUCGGAGCUUGUAACUAUUCUCCGUAAACGAGGAAUUCCUAGUAAACGCAAGUCAUCAGCUUGCAUUGAUUACGUCCCUGCCCUUUGUACACACCGCCCGUCGCACCUACCGAUUGAAUGACUCGGUGAAAAAUUGGGACUGUGAUUGAAAUUGCUUCAUUGCGAAUUUAAUUAUGGAAACUUUCUUUAACCUAGGCAUUUAGAGGAAGGUGAAGUCGUAACA
rnacentral:rRNA from 1 species